rnacentral:misc_RNA from 1 species
GAAAUGCGAUACGUAAUGCGAAUUGCAGAAUUCAGUGAAUCAUCAAAUCUUUGAACGCAAAUUGCGCUCUUGGGUAGCCCUAGGAGCACGCCUCUCUCAGUAUCGGUUCAACAACCUCUCAGCAGCGUAUAGAAUUUA